CUGGUUUGUUAUAGCCAGUCACCAUCUGAUUUUACUAAAAAGUCAAGUUUUUUUUUUUAAGCUAAUAGUCAGACAUAAGCUUACAUCUGAAUUAGCAAUCUAAGGUUACAUCAAACCGGUUGUAUCAUAACCGAAUAAAAUUUACAGUGGGACUAUAACAAAUACUGAGAAUAUGAUUUAGUCAUAAAAAAAAAAAUUCAAG